GUAACGACUCUCGGCAACGGAUAUCUCGGCUCUCGCAUCGAUGAAGAACGCAGCGAAAUGCGAUACUUGGUGUGAAUUGCAGAAUCCCGCGAAUCAUCGAGUCUUUGAACGCAAGUUGCGCCCUAGGCCAUCCGGCUGUGGGCACGUCUGCCUGGGUGUCACGCAC
rnacentral:rRNA from 1 species